UACGUAGGGUGCAAGCGUUGUCCGGAUUUAUUGGGCGUAAAGAGCUCGUAGGCGGUUUGCCGCGUCUGCUGUGAAAACUCGGGGCUUAACCCCGGGCCUGCAGUGGGUACGGGCAGACUAGAGUGCGGUAGGGGAGACUGGAAUUCCCGGUGUAGCGGUGAAAUGCGUAGAUAUCGGGAGGAAUACCUAUGGCGAAAGCAGGCUACUGGACCAUCACUGACGCUGAUCUGCGAAAGCUAGGGGAGCAAACAGGAUUAGAACGACGUAGU
rnacentral:rRNA from 1 species